rnacentral:rRNA from 1 species
UGAGGAAUAUAGGACAAUGGGCGCAAGCCUGAUCCAGCCAUGCCGCGUGCAGGAAGAAGCAUCUAUGGUGUGUAAACUGCUUUUGUACGGGAAGAAACACUCCUUCGUGAAGGAGCUUGACGGUACCGUAAGAAUAAGGAUCGGCUAACUCCGUGCCAGCAGCCGCGGUAAUACGGAGGAUCCAAGCGUUAUCCGGAAUCAUUGGGUUUAAAGGGUCCGUAGGCGGUUUAGUAAGUCAGUGGUGAAAGCCCAUCGCUCAACGAUGGAACGGCCAUUGAUACUGCUAGACUUGAAUUACAAGGAAGUAACUAGAAUAUGUAGUGUAGCGGUGAAAUGCUUAGAUAUUACAUGGAAUACCAAUUGCGAAGGCAGGUUACUACUUGUGGAUUGACGCUGAUGGACGAAAGCGUGGGGAGCAAACA